AAUAUACAGUGCCUGAGUUAAGAGGUGACUUAUCACAGAUAUCAAGCUCUUCUGGAAGUUCUCUGUUUCCUGCACUGUUUCUGGCUUGGUGCAGCCCUGGACAAUGUCAGGGAUGUGGUGUCACCACUUGAAGAUCUCAGGAAGGACAAAUCAAUUUUGAAGGACUGAUAACUCCAGGCUUUGUGACAGACCAAAUCCUUGCUCUCCCCAGUUCCUUGGAGCUGAAGGUGCUCACCCACACUGACAGUUUAGUCAGUGAGACUGGAUUAUGUUUCUACUAGCAGAGCUGCUGUUAUGGAAAUUCCUAUUCCAAUGCACUUCCAUAGAGAGAGAAAUACAGACAAAAAAAAACCAAGUUAAAAACUAGAAGGCAGCAUUUCUGUGGCAGUGUAGCAACCAA